CCUCCUGACCCUGGCCCACCUAGGUCCGGGAGCCAAAGCGCUGCCUCGCGAAAGCUACACAGCCUGCGAGGUCCCCAGUAAUCUUCCGCAACCCAGGCUAGACGCGAACAGCCUCCGGCUCGGUCCAAAACUGGCCUCUGCAUAUUGUAUCUCACGAGACCUUACCCCUCGGAGGUGAAGGAGUAGGAAGAGAAGAUACAUUCGGUCCAUGGAUGGAAGGGAGCGCCGGGCCCCACGGCCCUACAUAUUUAAAGCUGCGACGUGUGCGGGCUGUAUUCGGCGACGAUCCCUGGCUACGGUGCACCCCCACAGCUCUUAGGGAGUUUUGUUUUUAUGGACCCCAGAGGAAAGGCUUAUAUAUGGCUGUUGACUGUGCUGGCACCGUCUGUGUUACCCAGUAAGAUUGGAGCUAGGCAUGGUUAGGAAAGCUGAUUGCAGGAAGUGAGUAGUGUAAGAAAUCGACUACUAGAUCUGCUAAUGGUUAGCUGUUCAGCGAGGGAGUCGGGCACAUUUAGCACUUAGCCCUAAAUAAUGCAGCCAUAUCUUACCCCUUGGUGGCAUGGAAUACACAGUGUGUGUAAUACACACAAAGUGCAGAGGCAAUUGUGGCCAUACCCAAACAAACAGCGCCAGCUCUUGCAACGCUGUGUUGAAGGAUGUUAUUAUGAACCCUAUCAUAGACUAGGCCUAUGGCAAGUCAAGUUGGAGUGAAUGUGUCCCAGUUGUUUUCAGAAAAGAGCCGAUUAGGUAGAGAGACAAAGAGAACAUUGAGAAUGUGAAAGAUGGUAUUUACGUUUGGUGUUUGUUAUUUCCAGCUCUAGGAUGGAAGUUUAAUUGCCGUUGAUCCAAGACUGCCAAGAAAGCCUUUUUGGAGUUAGGUUGGAGGAGUUAUUUAAAUGAGUUUGCUUGAAUAUCUCUUAAGUAAAACCUGUAUGGUCUGUUAACUCAAGAUUUAAAUCUGUACUUUCCAGCUCCAUAGUCACAAUUUUGGAAAGAUUCCCCCACUUUAUUCUUUUUCCUAAGAAAUCUCUCAGCAUGGAACAAUGAUGACAGCAAUGAACUUGAUUUCAGAAUGUCAAGUUUCUGGUUUUGACGCUGUAGCCUGGGCCGAGUCACGGCCAGUGGGUCCCAAUUUUCUUGCCUAUACGGUGAAAGUAUUUGUACCACUUGCUUUCUGAAGCGCCUUCUGGUUCCAGGUUUCUGUAAGGGGUAAACGAUUUUUGUGACCCUAUGAACAGUAUUUAACAUGUAUGGGAGUAAAAAGGAAGAAACUGUUUCCUGUUCUCCAACAUUUAUUUCUCUUACCCCUUAUUAAGUUGGUCAUCAAAUUGAAAGGUUUUAAUGUUCUUUCAUUCUAGGAAAUGGCUGUGAGAUUGUUUCUAAGUAUAUUAAAGGUAAUGUCUCUUUUCUAAACCUUUGCUUUUGCUGAUAAUUGUGAAGGGAAGUGGAACCAGAACAGGCACUGAAUUGCCAUUCCUAAAGCCAACGCUCUAAUUCAGCCUCCAUUUCAUUAGCUCUGACCAGAAGUAUGUUGCCUGCAUCUGUAAAAAUUAUAAAUCAAAAUAAAAUAACUUUGGCGAC
rnacentral:antisense_RNA from 1 species